UCUCAGAAAAAACUGGAAUGUUAACGCACACUCAGGAAGGAAUUGGACAAUCGCGAAAUGAAAGGAACGCAACGCAGUAAUUAUGUACUCUUUUGCGCGAUAUUAAGUCUUACUAAUGAUCACCUAUUUGGCUGUAAUUAUUUAUACGCUGAUUGCGGUUAACGGGAAAGUAUUUGUUAGCUCGAGUAAAUGUGAGAUAUGUUGAUGUCUACUCUGAUUUAUUGUUGCUUUGCUACUGAUAUUUAUAUAUCUCGCGUAUAUAUCAUACAUUUCAAUUCCGCGCGGUAUUAAUGGGGCGUACGGAAGCUCGCGUGAAAAGCGAAAAGAGCAAGCUGAAUCUGCAACAAUACGGAUGUCGGAAAAAUAUUCAUGAAUAGGCGACAUUCGGCGAAGAUUCUACUCCGACAUUGUCGAGAUGCGAAGCGAGCAACCGGACUACAUCCUGCGCAAUAAGGUACGGAUUGGAAAACGCGGAGAGGAAAAGCGAAAGGAGAUGAAUACGUGCAGAAGGUUGUGAAGGAAAAUUGCGAAAGUUGUUACUCUACGUGAUAAAUAAAGUCGUACUUUCUCGACGGCGCAAAGAAUUGAUCCCCCUGGCGUACUCGGUCGUCGUAAUGUCGAGUACCAUGUCGAGUUCAGAGGGUAUCGCGUAAUCUUUAAUGGUUCUAAUAAUUUUCACUCUUCUCGUUCCACGAUAAAUCGAGAGAUUCGCCAUGCUGCUUUCUAUCACCUUUCGCAGACUGGUUUCGCUCGAAUGCGUUGAUGCUAAAAAAGCACAAUCAAUCUUUCAUUUUGUAUAUUCUGUUAUAGGCUUAAUAUAAUUAACUUUUAAUUUCUAUUGUUUAACAAAAGAAAUAUGUAUAAUGCAAAAAUCUUUUCAACAAAGUUCUGUGCUAUGAAAAUAUA